AGAGUUUGAUCAUGGCUCAGAAUCAACGCUGGCGGCGUGCCUAACACAUGCAAGUCGAACGAGAAAGCGGGGGCAACUCCGCGAGUACAGUGGCGAACGGGUGAGUAACACGUGACUAACCUGCCUUCGAGUGGGGGAUAACCCCGGGAAACCGGGGCUAAUACCGCAUAACAUCGCGAGGUGAAAUUCCUUGUGAUCAAAUGCGCAAGUAGCUUGAAGAGGGGGUCGCGGCUGAUUAGCUAGUUGGUGAGGUAACGGCUCACCAAGGCGAUGAUCAGUAGCCGGCCUGAGAGGGCGCACGGCCACACUGGAACUGAAACACGGUCCAGACUCCUACGGGAGGCAGCAGUGGGGAAUUUUGCGCAAUGGGGGAAACCCUGACGCAGCAACGCCGCGUGGAGGAUGAAGUCCCUUGGGACGUAAACUCCUUUCGACCGGGACGAAUAUUGACGGUACCGGUGGAAGAAGCCCCGGCUAACUUCGUGCCAGCCGCCGCGGUAAUAC
rnacentral:rRNA from 1 species